CUCGGCCCCUUCGCCCUCAAAAUUCCGCUCCCCAAGCCGGGGGAGGGCGCCCGGGAGCGGCGCGGGGGCUUAAGGCGGAUUUGGACAUCUAAGUGUGGCUCACAUCUUGCUGGAGAAUGGUGCUGAUCUCAACGCACAGAAUAAGUUAGGAGCCAGUGUCCUCACAAUGGCCUCCAGAGGUGGCCACGUCAGUAUGGUGAAAUUGUUGCUGGAAUCUGGAGCUUUUGUAGACAAUUAUGACCACUUUAGCACAAGUGUACUUAGCAGCAGCAGAGAUGACCUUCCUGAUAUCACUCCACUAAUGGCAGCUGCUCAGCAUGGACACGAGGCAGUGGUACAUCUGCUAUUAGACUGGGGAGCUGAUUGUAAUUACACUGUGAAGACUAUGGGCUGGAGUCCUUUAAUGCUGGCAGCUGUUAGUGGAAAGGUGAGCUUGGCACAGCAGCUCAUGGAGAAGGGUGCCAAUCCUGAUCACCUGAAUGUACUACAUAAAACACCUUUUGAAAUCUCUGUUGGCUUCAAACACAAAGACAUGAAGGACUACCUGGAAUCUCUCACAACAAUCAGACCCCAGGCAGAUACAGAAAAGAGGCAACCUGAUGUCUUUCACGCUUUGAAAUUAGGAAACUUUCAGCUGGUUAAAGAGAUUGUUGACGAAGACUCAAGUCAGGUCAAUAUUACCAAUGUUGACGGUGCAUCUCCCUUAAUGAUUGCGGCUGUAACUGGACAGCUGCCUCUUGUUCAGCUCCUUGUUGAGAAAAAUGCUGAUAUUGACAAACAGGAUAAUGUUCAUGGCUGGACGGCACUAAUGCAGGCCACAUACCACGGAAACAAAGAUGUUGUAAAGUAUUUGUUAAAUCAAGGAGCUGAUGUCAAUCUUCGUGCAAAAAACGGAUACACAGCUUUUGACCUGAUAAUGCUGCUAAAUGAUCCAGACACAGAGCUUGUACGGUUACUGGCAUCAGCAUGCAUGCAAGUAGACAAAGACAAGAAUAAACUGAACAACAGAUCAUCUUUGCCUUGUUCUAGAAGUAGGCAAUCCUUAAAUGUCCCAAUGUUGCCAGAUGACAAAGGAGGUCUAAAGUCCUGGUGGAGCAGGAUGUCCAAUCGAUUCCGCAAACUGAAGUUGACUCAGACAUUGCGCCAUGGAUUUCCUUCCAAUCAGUUUGUGCCUUUUCCUGAUGAGCCUGAACCAUCAUUAAAUUCUACCAUAAAAGCAGUUUCACAGAGUGAUACAGACACCUCUGGAAACCUGGACGCUGCUACAGCUUGGAUCACAAAUAAUAAAGCUACUGGUGUAAACACUGCAAAAGGAGGAAAGGAUGAUGAAUUAUUGACAACCAUGUUGAGAAGUAGUGCUCCAUUUACCAGGCUGCCCAGCGAUAAACUGAAAGCAGUGAUACCGCCUUUCUUACCGCCCUCCAGUUUUGAGCUUUGGAAUUCCGACCGAACGCGACUUAGCAAAGAUGGCAAAGCUGAACAGAUGAGAACUGCCUGGCCGCAGAGAGCAAUCAAGCACGAUUUUAACAACAGUGGGAACUCUGAUAUAACAUCUGUUAGCAAAGGUACUAGACCAGUCAAAUUACCAACAUUUGCAAGAAGACCUGCAUCUCCUUCAAAUUCCAACAACUUCAACCAUUCUCCCCAUUCGUCUGGUGGAUCAAAUAACAUUGCAGGAAUUAACAGACAUGGAGGUGAACUGCAUAACAGAUCAGGUGGCAGUGCAGAUAAUGUUUUGUCUCAGAUUGCAGCCCAAAGAAGAAAAGCAGCAGGCUUACCUGAACAGAAACCCAGCCAACAGCAUAGUCCAGUCCAGUCAACUCCUUCAUCCACUCUGUCUGAUUUGCACUGUGCUCAAAUUGUUGGCAAUGGACAUGUUGUAAAGCAAAAACCAGAGAUGAACAAAAGACCUCCAUCUGGGACUUCAUCUACAUCUAAAAGCACUUCACCAACUCUCACACCUUCCCCAUCACCCUCCCCGUCUCCUAAGGUUCACAACACAGAGUCCUCUCUCUCUUCUUCUCACAGACAGGCCAAGAGCAAUGGUUCCAGCAGUGGUACUAUUACAGAAGAUGGCAACCACUUGGUGGACCAUCAACAGCUUGUCCCUAUUCUGAGAGCCAGUGAUGUAGAGAAUCCUGAAAGACGAAACCACGUGAGAGUAAAAGGAGGCUCAGAAAACUUGGAGAAAGAUGAGCUGACUGGCAUCCUUAAAAAAUUGUCACUUGAGAAAUAUCAACCUAUUUUUGAAGAACAAGAGGUGGAUAUGGAAGCCUUCCUUACACUUACUGAUGGUGAUCUGAAAGAGCUGGGUAUUAAAACCGAUGGAUCAAGACAGCAAAUUUUGGCAGCUAUUUCUGAACUGAAUGCAGGAAAGGGACGAGAGAGGCAGAUUUUACAAGAAACUAUACACAACUUCCACUCUUCCUUUGAGAGUAGUGUUAGUAACACACGACCUCCAGGACAUUCCCAGUGGACUACUAGGUGAGCAGAAGCUACUCUUUGGGAUUUGAUAAUGUGGUGUAAUGAACUGGAAUUACUGAAGAACUGGAGCAGCAUAUAGAUGUAAUGUGUCUCCAAGCAAUUUGCUGCGAGUAAUCACUGACCUUAAAAGUGUCUUGAAGACAGCAAAAGACAGUAAUGGUGGCACAGAGUUGGGGAGAACAUCCCUUUGUAAGAAUGAAGCAACAGUUGCUCUUGCUGACCAGCUGCUGACCUGCAAGGGGGCUGCCAUCAGAGAUUUAGCUUUUUGGGGUUUUGUGUGUGAGAGCUCUGUGAAAUAGAUUUGGCUGUGGAACAGCAACAGAAGCACUAAGUUCUAGAGAAGGAGAAGGAAGAGGGAGAGAACAUGUAGAUAAAAGAAGUUUCUGCUCCAGGUAAGCUGCUUUUUAUUGUAAAAUGUAGCAGUGAGACCCUUAUGCAGUCUCUGGAAUUUGAAGAAAUUUUUCCAGGAAUGUGUAAUACUUUGGAGCCUAAGAGGAGCUGUACCAAGUCAGAUCCUAAGUCCAUACAGUUGUUUUCAGCUUCUUCAGCUGGUGAAGAGCUGCUUGCUUUCAUUAGCUGUGUACUUACCAUGUCCUGACUUCUUUUGCUUCAUCCUACUGGAUCAGAAGAUAUGGUGGACAGUUUUUUCCUCUUCACUGCCUCCAUGAUAAUUUUACAGAUACCUGUGAUACUCUUCCUCAGUCAUGCUUUUUCCAGGCAGACUUACAGGCUGCUUAAUCAUUCUCUAUACUAUAGUUUUUCUGAUAUCUUCUCCAUUCCUACUGUAUCCUUUCAGACUUAGAGAUACCAGCCUCGCAUACAGUAUUCAAGAUGAAGGCAUACUGUGGAUUUGCACAACAGAGUUUUUUAGUUGGGUUCGCUAUUUUCAGUUCUCUUGCCCUUUCAUAGUUAUUUCUGGUACUCUGCUUUUUAUUAAUUGGAAUGACCUCUCAUCUACUACCCAGCUCAUCUGCUGAAUUCAAGCUCAGAGCCUAUAAUUUUAUAUAACCACUCAUACGUUUGUUUGGGGUUUUUUUAUAUGCCUUACUUCAUAUUUAUCUUCAUCAAAUUUUGUCUGACUUCUUAUUUUUUGGGCACUGAUGUCUCCUAAAAUCCUAUCGACAGUCUUCUGUUUGCCUUUCUCUUUAUUUACGUGGAUAACUUAGGAUAAGUUUGUCACUUCACUCACUUUCAAAAUCACAUAUCAAAUAUCUUGAGUCCUCAUGCAGAUCCCUAUGAAGUGCUAGUGGUGUGAAUCUCUUUACCAUAGAAAAAAAUCACUGCCUUCCUAACUGGUUAUUUAUCCACACAAGAAACUUUUUACCCUGUGGGUUCCUUACUGUCUUAAGACCCAGCCUUGGACCUUGUGAAAUGCCUUGUAAAAAAUCAGGCAUCAAGUGGACCUCCUUUUUCUACAAGACUGUUGGCACCUUCAAGUAGGUCAGUGAGGCAAGACUUUACAAAUCCCUUUUUGAUUGUUCUCCAUAACAUUUCCUGUUCUAUGUUAUAGUUUAUGCUAAUCUGCUUGGUAUUACUGGCCAUCUUGCUGGUCUGUGUUUCCCUGGAUCUCCUCUUGAACUAUUAAAAAAACCUAUCAUUUAAAAAAACUUCUCAGUUUUGUGCAAUUUAAACAAGAACCUGUGCUCUGUAUUCAGCAGUUCAACUGCUUAAUCCUUGUGUUCCUCUGAAAUCUGGUCUAGCAAUUUGUUAUUAUUUGCUUUGUGUAUUUGUUUCAUUACCUUUUUUACCAAUACUUCAGGUUAAGAUACCUUGGACUCCCACAUAAAGAAGGCUUCUGAAAUGUGAACCUUCCCAAGCUUUUCCUUGCUGCUGGCUGCUCUAUAAAACCACAAGAAGCUGCUUCUCCUAAAAGAUAGCUACUGGAAGAAAAGAUUUUUUUUUUCUUAUGGUGAAGUUUGGCACCUGGCUGAGUAAAUUCAAGUGUACAAAUGAAAAUUUGAAAAGUUAGCCCUAACUACACCUUUAUAGGACUUUGCAAUAAUGUAUUUAAAAUUCGAAUCCCACAAAGAAUAAAAGAAAAUAAAGAGCUUGCUUUUGUAGCUCAAGUGUUGAAUUGUUCAAGGUAUCAGUGGUCUGCAUUUGAGAAGAACAAAGUCAGAAGAGCAGGUAGAAUGAAUGAUGAUAUAAGAAGAUUCAUGUUUUCAUUCUACACUUGCCCAUAGAUGAAGAACCCAUAGGAGGCAUAGUCAAGAACAACAGAAGCAUGGAAGAAGGCAUGAAAACCACCAUGAAUUAUGAGAGCUUCUACAUGGGGAAAUAUAUAAACUGAAUAUGCCUCUAUUGACUGGAUGCAGAUAAAGGAGUCCAAAUCGAAAAUGUAGUGGUUUCAUGAGAAGGAAUAUAAAGGAAAAGUAAUGCUGCAUUCUUCAUUAACCAAAAUACACUUUAUCUAUUCAAUAUUAAGAAGUUAGAACAGCAGUAAAAGUAAAUAUAAAAUACCUAUUUGUAAAAACAGCACUUUAUUUAAGAAAAUGCAUAAUCUGUCACUGAUAUUUAAACAGAAAUAGUGUUAAAAUAUUUUAUAUUGCUGAUCAAUUGUU